UACAGAGGGUGCGAGCGUUGUCCGGAAUUAUUGGGCGUAAAGAGCUCGUAGGCGGCCUGUCGCGUCGGAUGUGAAAACUCGGGGCUUAACCCCGAGCCUGCAUUCGAUACGGGCAGGCUAGAGUUCGGCAGGGGAGACUGGAAUUCCUGGUGUAGCGGUGAAAUGCGCAGAUAUCAGGAGGAACACCGGUGGCGAAGGCGGGUCUCUGGGCCGAUACUGACGCUGAGGAGCGAAAGCCAGGGGAGCAAACGGG
rnacentral:rRNA from 1 species